rnacentral:rRNA from 2 species
UAACAUGGAUUCCCCUAGUAACGGCGAGUGAAGCGGGAUGAGCUCAAAUUUAAAAUCUGGCUGGUUUACUAGUCCGAAUUGUAGUUUAAAGAAGCGUUUUCGGUGGCAGCCUGGGUAUAAAUCCUUUGGAAUAGGGUAUCAUAGAGGGUGAGAAUCCCGUCUUUGACUCAGUGAAUGCUACUAUGUGAUACGUUUACAAAGAGUCGAGUUGUUUGGGAAUNCAGCUCAAAAUGGGUGGUAAAUUUCAUCUAAAGCUAAAUAUUGGCGAGAGACCGAUAGCGAACAAGUACCGUGAGGGAAAGAUGAAAAGAACUUUGAAAAGAGAGUUAAACAAGCACGUGAAAUUGUUGAAAGGGAAACGUUUGACACCAUCAUGCGGGUGGGAAAUCAAUCUUUUAGCGUGGGGAGUGGUGGGGGUUCAAGACCGCAAGGCUGGCCUUUAUCUCAUCUCUGCGCUAAUGGAUGCACUUUUUCAUUUGCAGGUCAACAUCAGUUUCUUCUGCUNGACAAAACUCUGAGAGAAGGUAGCAGCUUUGGCUGUGUUAUAGCUCUGGAGCGAUACAGCGGAGGGGACUGAGGCUUUCGCAGUGUGUGCUUUCGGGCAAGGUUGACUGGGUGCUAUGUGAUCGUUCGGUGUACAAUGCAUGCAUUUUGCGCCGUGUCUUUUGCAUACUCGCCUGAAUCGACUCUUCCACGCUUAGGAUGUUGACUUAAUGGUUNUAAACGA